CCUACGGGUGGCAGCAGUGAGGAAUAUUGGUCAAUGGCCGCGAGCCUGAACCCGCCAAGUCGCGUGAAGGAUGAAUGCUCUACGGGUUGUAAACUUCUUUUAUAAAGGAAUAAAGUGAGGCACGUGUGCCUUUUUGUGUGUACUUUAUGAAUAAGGAUCGGCUAACUCCGUGCCAGCAGCCGCGGUAAUACGGAGGAUCCGAGCGUUAUCCGGAUUUAUUGGGUUUAAAGGGAGCGUAGAGUGGUUGUUAAGUCAGUUGUGAAAGUUUGCGGCUCAACCGUAAAAUUGCAAUUGAUACUGGCAGCAUUGAGUACAGUUGAGGUAGGCGGAAUUCGUGGUGUAGCGGUGAAAUGCUUAGAUAUCACGAAGAACUCCGAUUGCGAAGGCAGCUUACUAGACUACAACUGACAUUGAUGCUCGAAAGUGUGGGUAUCAAACAGGAUUAGAUACCCUGGUAGUC
rnacentral:rRNA from 1 species